rnacentral:tRNA from 1 species
GGAGAGAUGGCCGAGUGGUUAAAGGCAUCAGACUGUAAAUCUGACCGCAUUGCGUACGAAGGUUCGAAUCCUUCUCUCUCCA